NAAGUACUCCCUCCGUCCCAAAAUUCUUGUCUUAGAUUUGUCUAGAUACGGAUGUAUCAAGUCACAUUUUAGUAUUAGAUACAUCUGUAUCUAGACAAAUCUAAGACAAGAAAUUUGGGACAGAGGGAGUAGUUG
rnacentral:pre_miRNA from 1 species